GGGUAGUGAGCAUCUUCUUUGUUCUCCUUAACCUUCCACAUCUUUUGACCCAACCACACACUCCAAGAAGUGCUAUUCAUAAUAAUAAAUAUGGUUAUUCAACAGUUGUCACUCUUAAACUGAUCUUUAAAUUUUCCUAA
rnacentral:lncRNA from 1 species